rnacentral:rRNA from 1 species
GACGAACGCUGGCGGCGUGCUUAACACAUGCAAGUCGAACGGUAAGGCCCUUCGGGGUACACGAGUGGCGAACGGGUGAGUAACACGUGGGUGAUCUGCCCUGCACUUCGGGAUAAGCCUGGGAAACUGGGUCUAAUACCGGAUAGGACCACUGCCUGCAUGGGGGGUGGUGGAAAGCUUUUGCGGUGUGGGAUGGGCCCGCGGCCUAUCAGCUUGUUGGUGGGGUGAUGGCCUACCAAGGCGACGACGGGUAGCCGGCCUGAGAGGGUGACCGGCCACACUGGGACUGAGAUACGGCCCAGACUCCUACGGGAGGCAGCAGUGGGGAAUAUUGCACAAUGGGCGCAAGCCUAAUGCAGCGACGCCGCGUGAGGGAUCACGGCCUUCGGGUUGUAAACCUCUUUCAGCACCGACGAAGCGCAAGUGACGGUAGGUGCAGAAGAAGGACCGGCCAACUACGUGCCAGCCGCCGCCGUAA